rnacentral:rRNA from 1 species
CAGCAGCCACGGGAAUACGUAGGGUGCGAGCGUUAAUCGGAAUUACUGGGCGUAAAGCGUGCGCAGGCGGUUGUGCAAGACAGAUGUGAAAUCCCCGAGCUUAACUUGGGAACUGCAUUUGUGACUGCACGGCUAGAGUGUGUCAGAGGGGGGUAGAAUUCCACGUGUAGCAGUGAAAUGCGUAGAUAUGUGGAGGAAUACCGAUGGCGAAGGCAGCCCCCUGGGAUAACACUGACGCUCAUGCACGAAAGCGUGGGGAGCAAACAGGAUUAGAUACCCCGGUAGUCCCUGUCUCUUAUAC